rnacentral:rRNA from 1 species
AGUGCAGGCGGUUUUCUAAGUCUGAUGUGAAAGCCUUCGGCUUAACCGGAGAAGUGCAUCGGAAACUGGAUAACUUGAGUGCAGAGGAGGGUAGUGGAACUCCAUGUGUAGCGGUGGAAUGCGUAGAUAUAUGGAAGAACACCAGUGGCGAAGGCGGCUACCUGGUCUGCAACUGACGCUGAGAUCGAAAGCAUGGUAGCGAACA